UUCGCCCUUAGAGUUUGAUCCUGGCUCAAGACGAACGCUGGCGGCGUGCCUAACACAUGCAAGUCGAACGGAGAAUUUUAUUUCGGUAGAAUUCUUAGUGGCGAGCGGGUGAGUAACGCGUAGGCAACCUGCCCUUUAGACGGGGACAACAUUCCGAAAGGAGUGCUAAUACCGGAUGUGAUCAUCUUGCCGCAUGGCAGGAUGAAGAAAGAUGGCCUCUACAAGUAAGCUAUCGCUAAAGGAUGGGCCUGCGUCUGAUUAGCUAGUUGGUAGUGUAACGGACUACCAAGGCGAUGAUCAGUAGCCGGUCUGAGAGGAUGAACGGCCACAUUGGGACUGAGACACGGCCCAAACUCCUACGGGAGGCAGCAGCGGGGAAUCUUCCGCAAUGGACGAAAGUCUGACGGAGCAAACGCCGCGUGAGUGAUGAAGGAUUUCGGUCUGUAAAGCUCUGUUGUUUAUGACGAAUUGUGCAGUGUGUGAACAAUGCAUUGCAAUGACGGUAGUAAACGAGGAAGCCACGGCUAACUACGUGCCAGCAGCCGCGGUAAUACGUAGGUGGCGAGCGUUGUCCGGAAUUAUUGGGCGUAAAGAGCAUGUAGGCGGCUUAAUAAGUCGAGCGUGAAAAUGCGGGGCUCAACCCCGUAUGGCGCUGGAAACUGUUAGGCUUGAGUGCAGGAGAGGAAAGGGGAAUUCCCAGUGUAGCGGUGAAAUGCGUAGAUAUUGGGAGGAACACCAGUGGCGCAGGCGCCUUUCUGGACUGUGUCUGACGCUGAGAUGCGAAAGCCAGGGUAGCGAACGGGAUUAGAUUCCCCGGUAGUCCUGGCCGUAAACGAUGGGU
rnacentral:rRNA from 1 species